rnacentral:tRNA from 1 species
AGUGAUGUAAUUCAGUGGUAGAACACUUGCCUACCACACAGGAGGCUCUGUGGUUUGAUUCCCAGCACCACAU